rnacentral:rRNA from 1 species
UACAGAGGGGGCGAGCGUUAUUCGGAAUUAUUGGGCGUAAAGGGCGCGUAGGCGGCUUGACAAGUCCAAGGUGAAAUCCCUCGGCUCAACCGAGGAACUGCCUUGGAAACUGUCUGGCUUGAGGCCGGGAGAGGGUAGUGGAAUUCCCAGUGUAGCGGUGAAAUGCGUAGAUAUUGGGAGGAACACCGGUGGCGAAGGCGGCUACCUGGCCGGCCCUGACGCUGAGACGCGAAGGCGUGGGGAGCGAACGGG